UGUCUUUUACUAUCUUUAGUUUAAAUACCAAUUAUUACUAACAUAACAGUAUAAAUAAUAUGUCGGGUUUUUAGAAACAAUGCUUUUUUCUGCUUGUUUUGUUUUUAGGAGAGAUAAAGUAGUACUUGCUAGGCGGAAGGUUUGCUGUAAAAUGUACGGAGGAAGGGGCCCUUCAAUGUUCAUACACGAGCAGAGAUGUGCUAGUUGGCUAAGAGGCGCAGCGGAUAUGACAGCAUUAAUUAAUACGCCUUCCAUGAAGAUGGAUUGAGAACAAAGAGAAUAGAACAUAUAGAGAGGAAUUUAGAGAAUCUCUCGUUAUGAUUUUUUUCAGUCCCUUU